AGUCUCGUAACUCAAUUGGACAGAGUAUCGGUUUUCUAAACCGUAAGUUACAGGUUCGAACCUUGUCGAGGCUACAA
rnacentral:tRNA from 1 species